GCCUGGGUGGCUCAGUCGGUUGAGCGUCGGGCUUUGGCUAAGAUCAUGAUCUCGCACUUUGUGGGUUCGAGCCCUGCAUCGGGCU
rnacentral:tRNA from 1 species